CUCAUACAUGGAGAACAGGCAGAAAAUCUUACUGUUUUCUCUCUGGAAUAUUCUGGUAGCUUGAUCUGCUCGUUACCCAUUUUGUCCAGAAGCCGUUUGACUGACCCGAGCUAGUAAUCACUGCUACAGAGCAGAGAACACUUUGGAUUUUUGUAUAGUUCUUGAUAGGCUAACGGACGCCCUAUCCUUGCUCAGCAAAGUGAAAAUCUCUAAUUACUUCAGCCUGGAAGGUUUAGAAUGGUAAUGAUUUGCGAUGGGAAUAUUGGUCCUGUGGGCGAAAAU
rnacentral:lncRNA from 1 species